rnacentral:rRNA from 1 species
GACGAACGCUGGCGGCGUGCUUAACACAUGCAAGUCGAACGGAAAGGCCUUUUCGGAGGUACUCGAGUGGCGAACGGGUGAGUAACACGUGGGUGAUCUGCCCUGCACCCUGGGAUAAGCCUGGGAAACUGGGUCUAAUACCGGAUAGGACCGCACUUUAGUGUGUGUGGUGGAAAGUUUUUUCGGUGUAGGAUGAGCCCGCGGCCUAUCAGCUUGUUGGUGGGGUAAUGGCCUACCAAGGCGGCGACGGGUAGCCGGACUGAGAGGUUGGUCGGCCACAUUGGGACUGAGAGACGGCCCAGACUCCUACGGGAGGCAGCAGUGGGGAAUAUUGCACAAUGGGCGCAAGCCUGAUGCAGCGACGCCGCGUGGGGGAUGACGGCCUUCGGGUUGUAAACUCCUUUCGCCAGGGACGAAGCGUUUUGUGACGGUACCUGGAGAAGAAGCACCGGCUAACUACGUG